CCCUUCCCUCACUCUUUCCCUCUCCCUCUCCUCUUCAAAACCCCCGGUCCUAGCUCCCACUCUUCAUCUCUUCAUUAGUAGCCAGUUCUUAUGUUCUCUCCUUCGCCUAUAUCUUGCCAUCUUCUUCUUCUAGCUUUCUUGCCUUGCCUCCCUUCAUCCAUCCACGGUGAAGUAGCUACAUCUUUUUGCCGAGUCUCUUUGGACUGCAAGCUAUAGUAGUUUGGAGUUUGGACUGCAUGUCCAGCCGGUUGAAGUUAGGUUAAGGGGGUUGUUGUCUGGUUCAAGGUCUCCACAUACAUCAUACACAUGGAUGCAUAAUAUGCUUCCAUCUUGUGUACAUAUGGAGUGUAUGAUUUGGUGAUCUCGGACCAGGCUUCAAUCCCUUCAACCAACAUCUGCACACAGUACGCGCACCUCAUGCAUGCAUAUGACAAUUCCAGCGGGCAAGGUUUGAUUUCUGGAGUAAGUAUAUGCCAUCUACUAGAGAGUGAAUAUAUGAGCUAUUCAGCUCCUCCUCCUCCUAUUCAUCUGACCACAACAUGUGCAGAUUUAUUUUUGCAUAAAGUUUCUAUUGAUUAACAGACUGCAUCUUGCUUAUGGAAAAGCAUGUAUUUGUAGAUGCAAUAGAUUUUCAUUUCUGUAAGUAUGUCGUCAAGAAUGAUGCAAUGACCAGGCAUGCAGUAUACUAGGCUAGCCGCAUAUGUUCAUGUGAGAAACGAUGUAGAAGAGCUAGCAGCAAAGACGAUGAACUCUGUGGACGUGUGGUGUGAAGUCUACAUCUCACCGGUUCUGAACCAAUCGACUUUUGUACUACCAGUUCCAUCUUCCAUGCACCUAGCCAUGUAUGUUCACACCAGUAAUACAUUGGCACAUUUUUUUCGAUAAAGAAUACAAUUGCAUAUGACUCCAUCCCUCUUGCAUUUGUGCAUUGGCAUCAAAUAAUCUUAACAAUGAAUGUUUAGAUCACUAGGACAAGAAAAUUCCACCCCUUGCUAUCCAGCAAGCACAUGCACGUUACAUGGCAGUAGUGAAAAUGCUCUUUCAUAAAAUUACUCCAUAAUAAUACAUGCAAAUUAUCUUACAAGAAGCUAUAGGCAUUCCACUGAUUAGGGACAGGAACUGACCAAGCAUUUAAGCAGGAAUGGCUCGGCACUCAUGUAUGACAAAGGAAUGGCUGGCCAGGCUCAUUACUUGGCUCACGUGGCUGUUGUGAAAGACAGAGAUGCCAUGCACCGUACUGCUACACAUGCUGCAUCUGAACGGCGUGCGAUCGAUCGAUCCCAAUCACUGCCUGUUCUCUCUGGGAGUUUUGUUCCAUCCAUCUGCAAAUCACAGAACUACGUAGUACAUGCUGGUGAUGGUGGUCUUCGAUCUGCAUUAACUUCCAUAUGUCUCAAAGCUACAAGUUUUGAACCGCUUCUCGUGACGCUUUAUGAAAGCAGAUUGGCCACCAGUGUUUUACCAUUUUAUUUUGCCUUUUACGAUUAUAGAUGGACAUAUACAAUCAUAUGAUACACUUACUAUUGAAUUCUGUAUACCAAAACAAUUGAACUUAUAAUUAAAAAUCGUUUUUUUCUUAGAAAUACCGAAUAUGAAAUGCACGCAUACAUACAUGCACACCACCACACAGACACCGGCCCUAUGCUUAGGACAAAGUGUUAGGCAUCAAAUUUGUCGAAGUGAUCGAAGGAGGAAAAAAAACCCUAAACCCUGCCGAAAGAAUAAUCCUCUUACUCUCAAUGAGACAUGUAUGGCAUCAAACCUAUAUAUGGUUGGUCCUUGGUGGAUCAGGAUAGAAGUAGAAUCACCCAACUAAUCACUGAACCGAGGCUUCGGCUUCUCUGGAUCCAACUUUCAGUGCAACUAGUUCAACACAUGUUCAUACAUAGUAUAAUUAAGAUGGAGUGAUUCGAUUUGCAUACGCUUCCUUUUAGCAUAUAUUGAUCUUGCAUAUGCUGUAGCUAGUUGAGUACUCCCUCCGAUUCAAAAUACUUGUCGUGAUUUUAGUUUAAAUCUAAAUUAAAAACAAAACAAGUAAUUUGGACUAGAGGGAGUACUGUCUUUGAUGGUGAGAUGCUAUAGCAGCACUAUAGCGUCCAUCAUUCAUGGAGAGGGACUUGAUUUUCAUACGUUUUUAGCAUAUACAAAUCUUGUAUAUAUUGUGUAGCAUAACUACUUGAGUACACGGUCUUUGAUGGUGAGAUACUGUAUACUCCACUCCACUUGCAGAGCUAGCGUUCAUCAUUCGUGUCGCUAAUGAAAAUUAAUUGAUGUAUACAGUAUAUAGCUUGGAACAAGCGAUGACAGUUCAUGCAUGACACCGACAAGCACAUGCGUUGACAUCGAUCGUUUGGAACUUGUCAAGGCAAAAAACUGGUACCUCCAAUCAAACAGAAUCAUCAGACUAACAUGCAAACAGAUAUGCGCCGGCUAUAUAUGUUUUGUCGUAAUUCAGAUAUUGCGCCUAGAACUUUGGCACGGUUGCCAGCAUGCAUGGGCAUGCAUGGAGGAGCUAGUUAAAUGAUGCUCUUGUUCAGAAAAAAAAGUUAAAAGAUGCUUUCCGAAAGUGAAGCUGCAGGGAGAAGACAAACACGUACAGUACAUGGCUCUCCUCCUCGUCCCGGCCCUGCUGCUGCUCGGACCUAUCUAGAUAGUGUGCACUGUGCAUUGUGCACACCCGCCCACUGUCCGACUGUCGUCGACACUACUCGUAUGCACGCAUGUGUGCCGCACCAUGACGACAACGAUGAUGAUGGCCAUCGUUCCCUGAAGAUGACCACAUUUGGCCAUGGCACGCAAAAGAGACGCAGCGCCGAUCAUGUGAACGGAUUGUUCAACAGUUCAAUGGCGGAGAACUGGCGAUCCAUGUGCUUGCAUUGCAUGCUAUCUGCGAGCUCCAUCCAUCGCCCGGGGUUGAGGAUUCAAAAAAUUCACGGCUGGUGCUGCCCCAAUUUCUCGGCGUCAAAGAGUCAGGUAUGCUGUGGAGGGCCAUGUGGUAACUGUAAAAAGAAACUUUGUCACUAAACCUGCUGCUUUCCCGUAGCAGCUAGGACCAACUGCUAGAGUGCUAGCUAAAACGACUACAUUGUCUGCAUUAAUAAAAUCGCAGAAAGUAGAAUGAACAGGGUAUUGAAAGGAAGCUGGGGAAAUAAUAUGAUGGGGUCAGCCUCUCUAGCAUGGUGUCAUCUUUAGUGAUAAAACAAUGAUUAGUGCAAAAUUAGUAAAAGAUUUUCAGAAUCCUUUGAUGUCA